rnacentral:rRNA from 1 species
UAUGUGAUCGUCUCUCGCAUAUCAAUAAGCGGAGGAAAAGAAACUAACAAGGAUUCCCCUAGUAACGGCGAGUGAAGCGGGAAGAGCUCAAAUUUGAAAUCUUAAAGGGUUUCCCUUUACGAAUUGUAGUUUAAAGAAGUGUUUUCUGUUGAGGUUUUGGUAAAAGUUCUUUGGAAUAGGACAUCAUAGAGGGUGAGAAUCCCGUAUUUGACCUUUACUUUCAACUUUGUGAUACACUUUCAAAGAGUCGGAUUGUUUGGGAAUGCAGUCCAAAAUGGGUGGUAAAUUUCAUCUAAAGCUAAAUAUUGGCGAGAGACCGAUAGCGAACAAGUACCGUGAGGGAAAGAUGAAAAGAACUUUGAAAAGAGAGUUAAACAGUACGUGAAAUUGUCAAAAGGGAAGCGUUUGACACCAGUGUUGUUUUCCUGAAAAUCAAUUAAAGAACUGUUUAUGCUAAGCUGUUUAGACUUUAUCAGCUAACUGUUUAGUUUUGAGCUUUUCUUUAAUGCACUUUUCAGUUAACAAGUCAACAUCAAUUUCUUUUGCUGUAAAAAAGCUUGAGGAAGGUGGCUUGAGAUUCGUCUUAAGUGUUUAUAGCCUCUUGCCUAUGCAGUCGGAGAGAUUGAGGUCUGCAGCGUAGAUCCUUCGGGGCUAAAUGCAUUUGUGCUAAGUUAUAACAUUUUAUAGACAACUUGUUGACUAUGAUUUGUCUUGUAGCUUACUCGCUUAUGUUAUUUUACCUACGCUUAGGAUGUUGAGUAGCGACAUACGCAC